UACAAAUGAAAAAAUACGUAUGAGACAAGGGCAUAAAACGUACAGAAAAAAUUUAAAAUUCUUUGUAGGAAUGAGCUGGAUCAUUCUAUUUCUCUGUACGGUUCUGGAUUAGAAUUGAUCAAAAGAUGAACUUGAGUCAUAACUGGGAGUUAGAAGUGAUUCUCUCACAAUCAUUUUGGCAUCUUGAUACCUAUCACAGUGGUGCCUCAGUCUAAGACACCACACUAAGGUAGCAAGUGUCCCAUUCCAACAUCUUGUUAGACUAAUUUAAGCAUGGGUAUCAGUGACUGGCAGAAAUGUCAUAGGACUGAACCUUAGCUAUAAAGGAGUAUAGAAAUGUACUUUCUAGUUUUCUAGCCUCUUAAAACAUGUCAGUGUCCUGCAGCCAGAGACCACCAUGAUCACAGUUAUAGUUGAACAAGUCAGGUUUAUUAUUUGUUACAGCAAGGGAGAACACACACUGUGGGGAACCAUGGGGAAUCCUCAGCAAGAGGAUAUUAGGAUUUGGGCUUUGGUUGAGUGACUUUAUAGGAUUUGGGCUUUGGUUGAGUGACUUUAUAGGAUUUGGGCUUUGGUUGAUUGAGUUGUGGAGAGUCUAAGGAAGCUAAGGUUUGCUCUGGAUUGGAUGCCAUCAGCAAGUGUGUGUGAGGGAAUUCUAUGAUUAUCUCAAAUUUUAUACAUAGGGAGGGCAGACUAGGGUGAGGAAACAGGUGUCAUUAAUUGAUAAAAAAUUAACAGUCAUUCAUUUUAGCAGAAAGAGAGUGAUGUUUGGUAUUAUGUGGAUGGCACAGCAACUUAUUUUUGUCUGUGCUUAGACAAAAUUAUGUUGUGGACUUGCUUUAUCUGAUUUAAUCAUGUUCUCAGAAUGACCUUGUCUGAGUUGGUAUUCUGUGAGAUACCUGGUUUACGUCCAAAAGGAGAAUAACAGCGUUGAGUGCCUGGCCAGCUUCUGAAUGUCAGGGGCUGUUCCUUUCUCUUCUUUUUCAAGUACAGGCUGGAAGGGAAUUUGAGUGACUGCUCAGUAAGCAAAUUUGUUGUAUCUGCCUCAGGUUUCAUCAUACUUAAUGAUGAAGCUCUGGAGUUUCCCACCAAAGUCAGGUACAAGUCAAGUAUGCCCACUAUCCAUGGUUAUUUAAUAUUUCCCAAAAGUUUAGUCAAAGCAGUAAGAUAAAAAUGAAAUAAAAGAAAAAUCUUUGGAAAGGAAGAGACAAAUUAUUACUUGCGUAUAAUUGCCUCCCUAGGAACCGAAGAAAACCAACUGAAGAAUUAUUAGAAGUAAGGAGAGUUCAGUAAGGCAGCUGCUUACAAAAUCAGUAUACAAAAGUCAAUGCUUAUGCUUUAAAUCAACAAUCAUCAGAAUAUACAAUUUUAAAAAGGCAUUAAAAUAGAGACUAAAAUAGAAAAUAUCUAGGAAUAGACUUGACAUAAGAAAAGUAUGCAGGACCCAUAUAAAUAAAACUGUAAAACUUUCCUGGGAGACUUGAAGACUUAAAUAAAUGGUAGGGCAUACCACAUUCUUGGAUGGCAUAACUCAAUAAUUCAGCCAUUUUAAUUCUAAUAAAAAUCAAAAGUAUUUUUCUUUUUAACGAGACGAUAUAAUCCUUAGGUCACCUGGGAAGCUUAAUAAAAGGCUGAAGAAUUUUUAGAAGAUUGAGAGGUGACUUACACUGCUAGAAAGAAAGAUUUAUUAUAAAAGUAGAAUGAUUCUUGUGUAAGAAUAAAAAUAGCCCACCAAACAGGCUCAAGUAUAUACAUAUGGUUUAGGAUAAAGGUGGAAUUGAAAUGUUCUUAUAUUUCUGCUUAAGAUACAGAAAGCUGCUAAGCACAUCACUUCUGUCCUAAUCAUGAGAAAAUGACGGAUAAACUACAAAAUCGUUACUUUUGUUGAGCUCAUGAGAAAGAUGAGGUUGUGAGGCAACCAAGUAACCUCAUUCAGAAGAGAGACAAGCCCCUCCGAGGAGAAAGGGGCUUCACAACUGUCUCCAUUCUGGCAGAGCAUGGGGAGGAGAGGCACAGCCACUAUCCACGUGGGGAGAAGAAAUCAGCUAAAUUGUAACACAAAAUCCAUGUGUGGGUGAGUGUGUAAAUCUGGGAAAGCUGAGGUAGAAGAGGAGUUCCCACUCAGCUACAAACUCUCUUCCACAGACUUCCACCAGGUGCUCACAGGAAAUAUUGGGGGCAGGGCAGGAGGCUGGCCCUCUUGAGCCCACCUCUGAGGUCCAGGCAGAGAGAGGCAAUCAAUGGAUGUUGGGGACACAAAAUGCCAUUGACUUUCCUGGAUUUUCCUCCUUUAGGGAUCAAAAACUCUAAGCUACUGGGGGUAGGGCAGCAAACUCAGUUACCCACAGGGUUCAAAGUGAUCAGUGGAUGUGAGGCCCAAGGCCCUGCCUACUAACCUGGACAAUUUUCCCUGGACAGUAGACUAUAACCUCAAGUCUCUGGAGUGGCAGAGUCUAUUACUCCCAGGGCAGAUGGACCAAGAUGCGUUGCUUAAUAGCUGCAUGAAAAGCCUUGAUAACAUUGAACAUCCAUUUAUGAUAACUCAGCAAACUAGAACUUCCUCAAUCUGAUAAAGGACAUGUACAAAAACCCUAUGGCUACCAUUAUACUUAAUGCCGGAAGAUUGAAUCUAUAAAUUGUGGUACAUCCCUACAAUGGAAUACUUCUCAUCAUUAAGAUGGAUGAACUACUGAUACAAGCAGUGGCAUGGAUGAAUCUCAAAAGCAUUACGAUGGGACUAAUAAUAGUUCCUACUUCACAGAGUCAAUGUGAGGAUUAACAAGAAAAUCCAUGUAAAAUAGCACAACGCUUGACACUUGCAUAACCCAGCACAGAGUGAUGGAACUCUGGGUUAAAUCCCAUUAUAGUGAGAAGAGAAAAGGCUCUGGAGACAAACUAUCUACGUUUGAGACCCAGCUCUGCCGCUUCCUAGCUGUGUUGACUUGGUGUCCUCUGUGAUGGAUGGCAAAUGCUGAGCUGAAAAAACACAGAUGUUUUCCAAGACCUUGACAGAAUGGGCUCCCGCCAUUCUCUGGCUUGAAUCCAGCAGCACCAGAUCCAUAGACAUUUACUGAGGGCCUGUUAACUGCAAGAG